rnacentral:rRNA from 1 species
AAUAAAUACCUUACAGAGGUCUCGUUAACCGAGAUCUCUCAAACGGAAUGAGUACAACGUGAAUCCUUUAACGAGGAUCGACUGGAGGGCAAGCCUGGUGCCAGCAGCCGCGGUAAUUCCAGCUCCAGUAGCGUAUAUUAAAGCUGUUGCGGUUAAAAAGCUCGUAGUUGGAUAUCAGUGCGUGUCCGGUCCGGUAUGCCUGGCGCUGUCGCUCACGCGGCAAUGCUGGGCUCCCAAAUAUCGGCUGGCCGCAUUCAAUCGUGCCGGAUCCGUCGACGGGCCGUUCUUCGGAGGGGCCUGUUGGCGACCGGCGACGUUACCUUGAACAAAUUAGAGUGCUCAAAGCAGGCUCUGAAUGCCUGUAUACAUAUUCAUGGAAUUGGAGAAUACGUCCCUGGCUCGAUUUGGUUGGUUUUGAGAGUCGAAGGGAAAUGAUUAAUAGGGACUGACGGAGGCAUUCGUAUUGCGACGCGAGGGGUGAAAUCCUGUGACCGUCGCACGACGAACUACUGCGAAAGCAUUUGCCGAGAAUGUUUUCAUUAGUCAAGAACGAAAGUUAGAGGUUCGAAGGCGAUCAGAUACCGCCCUAGUUCUAACCGUAAACGAUGUCGACCAGCAAUCCGCAACGGUCACUACACGGACUGUGCGGGCAGCUUCCCCGGGGAAACCAGAGUUUUUGGACUCCGGGGGAAGUAUGGUUGCAAAGCUGAAACUUAAAGGAAUUGACGGAAGGGCACCACCAGGAGUGGAGCUUGCGGCUUAAUUUGACUCAACACGGGACAACUCACCAGGCCCGGACACCGUAAGGAUUGACAGACUGAUAGCUCUCUCUUGAUUCAGUGGGUGGUGGUGCAUGGCCGUUCUUAGUUGGUGGAGUGAUUUGUCUGGUUUAUUCCGAUAACGAACGAGACUCUGGCCUAUUAAACUUGACGCUGUCAGUCUCUUGUGACUGCG